rnacentral:ncRNA from 1 species
AGCGACGUAUAGAUUAGCAAUCUAUACAUAUAGCCGCCAUGGCUUGACAUGAUAUAGCCGAAGUACAGGAUGACCGCCUCGUAAGCAUGUCAGUAAGUCCCAAGA